rnacentral:tRNA from 1 species
GGAUGUAGCUCAGUGGUAGAGCACGUGCUUAGCAUGUAUACAGCCCUAGGUUAAAUUCCUAGCACCA